UGAAAUUUUACCAUAAGGUUCAAUACCACAAAAGGAAGGUUGGAAUUGAUUUUGGGGGUUAUGGUACUAACAGUUAAGGAAUUAGGGGCCAAAAAGCGGCCAAAAAUAAGCAGUGUUCAUAAGGUAAAGUUCUAUCAGCACUGAAAUUUUCAGAUGAAUCUACUAACCCAUUGUUGGGUUGCUGCCACUAAAUUGGUAAUUUUAAGGAAAUUUUGCCGUUUUUGGUUAUCUUGAAUAUUAUUAUAGAUAGAGAUCAACUGUAAACAGCAAUAAUGUUCAGCAAAGUAAGAUCUACAAAUAAGUCAACUUGACCAAAAUGGUCAGUUGACCCCUUAAGGAGUUAUUGCCCUUAAUAGUCAAUUUUUAACCAUUUUUCGUAAAUUUUUGUAAUCUUUUACAAAAAUCUUCUCCUCUGAAACAACUAAGACAAAUUUAACCAAACUUGUCCACAAUCAUCAUUAGGGAAUUUAGUUUAAAAAAUGUGUCCGAUGACCCCGCCUGCUAACCAAGAUGGCCGACAUGGCUAAAAAAUAGUACAUAGGGUAAGAUGCAGUUUUUAUACGCCAGUUUACGGGACGUAUUAUGGUAUACCGUUGACUGUCCGUCCGUCCGUCGUCUACAUGUCGGACAUUAACUCAAAAACGCUUUUACCAAUAUGCAUGAAACUUUGGUGAAUUGUUUAUAUCUAUUGACUUGAGCUCCCUUUCGUUUUUUAUAAAUUUCAGAUUUACCGUUUCCGAAUUUUGGAGUUUUAUUCAUUAAAAAAGGGGGGAUUUUCCAGUUUUCGGACAAUAACUCAAAAACAAUUUCACCAAUUUGCAAGAAACUUUGGUGAAUUGUUUAAUGCUAUCGACAUAAGCUCCCUUUUGAUUUUUAUAAAUUUUAGAUUAUACGUUUCUGAUUUAUGGGGUUUUAUUCGUUACAAAAAGGGGGAUUUUCCAGUUUUCGGACAAUAACUCAAAAAUGCUUUCAGCAUAUUUUAUGAAACUUUGGUAAAUUGUUUAUAUCUAUUGUUGUAAGCUCCCUUUUGAUUUUUAUAAAUUUUAGAUUUUAUGUUUCCGAGUUACAA